GCGGCCAUGGCGGAAUUGGUAGACGCGCUAGAUUCAGGUUCUAGUUGGGCAACUCGGUGGAUGUUCGAGUCAUCUUGGCCGCA
rnacentral:tRNA from 1 species